rnacentral:piRNA from 1 species
UCAGAAUCCAUUAUGGUGCAGUUCUUCCAC